rnacentral:tRNA from 1 species
CCGGAGGGCUUGUAGCUCAGUUGGUUAGAGCGCGCGCUUGAUAAGCGUGAGGUCGGAGGUUCAAGUCCUCCCAGGCCCACCAAUUUAUGAUAAAAAAAUGCUGAUAAUUAAGUUUGUUACUGAUAAGUUUUUUUUUAAAAAAUUAAUUUGUGAAUGUUUUUUGAUGGUCUUUUAUCUUACAAUAUAAUAAAAAAUUUAAAUAAAAUAAUUACUUUCAUUUAUAACUUUUAUUUAAAAAAAAAAAAAUAUAUAAUUAAAUUUUGUUGCAAUAAUUUUAUUAUAUAAAUUAAAUUAAAAUAUUUUCUUUCAAAAGUAAAUUUGAACAUAAUUGUUUUAGGGGCCGUAGCUCAGCUGGGAGAGCACCUGCUUUGCAAGCAGGGGGUCGUCGGUUCGAUCCCGUCCGGCUCCACCAUCUUUGGUUAUCAUCAUCGUUAAAGAACAAUGUUUGCAAUAGAUCUGUAGAUCUUAAGUCUAUCAUCUAUUGCCUGUUCUAUUGAAAUUGUG